UCUUUAGGUUCUUGGAUGGCACAUAUGGA
rnacentral:piRNA from 3 species